UGUGUGAGAGAGAGAGAAAGGGGCGGAGCUUCAUAAUCCCUGUAUAGUAAUCCAAACAAACUGAUCCGCGGACAGAAUCUCAUCUCAUCCAAACACAGGAGACAGAAACACUUGGGACACGACUGUGUCUCUCGAUUAGUGUUAAUGCUGCGAAUGUGUCAGAGCUGGAGAGUUUAUUACGCUGCGCGAGGAUCGGUGAGAAAAUCCGACGGAUGAUCGAUGAAAACAUGAUCCGCAGAGAGAGCUUCAGACAGAAUAAACCGUUAAAAGCGCUCGGUUCAAACUCUAGACUUCACUGACGAU